UACGUAGGCAGCGAGCGUUGUUCGGAGUUACUGGGCGUAAAGAGUGCGUAGGCGGUUUUCUAAGUUUGGUGUGAAAUCUCCCGGCUUAACUGGGAGGGUGCGCCGAAGACUGGAAGGCUUGAGUAUGGGAGAGGUAAGCGGAAUUCCUGGUGUAGCGGUGAAAUGCGUAGAUAUCAGGAGGAAUACCGAUGGCGAAGGCAGCUCGCUGGGGACGGUACUGACGCUGAGGCGCGAAAGCGUGGGGAGCAAACAGG
rnacentral:rRNA from 1 species